CAGCCGCCGCGGUAAUACGUAGGGUGCGAGCGUUAAUCGGAAUUACUGGGUGUAAAGCGUGCGCAGGCGGUUUGUUAAGACAGAUGUGAAAUCCCCGGGCUCAACCUGGGAACUGCAUUUGUGACUGGCAAGCUAGAGUAUGGCAGAGGGGGGUGGAAUUCCGCGUGUAGCAGUGAAAUGCGUAGAUAUGCGGAGGAACACCGAUGGCGAAGGCAGCCCCCUGGGCCAAUACUGACGCUCAUGCACGAAAGCGUGGGGAGCAAACAGGAUUAGAUACCCGUGUAGUCCCUGUCUCUUAUAC
rnacentral:rRNA from 1 species